GUGGGGAAUAUUGCGCAAUGGGCGAAAGCCUGACGCAGCGACGCCGCGUGAGGGAUGAAGGUUUUCGGAUCGUAAACCUCUGUCAGAAGGGAAGAAACUACAUUGUGCUAAUCAGCAGUGUACUGACGGUACCUUCAAAGGAAGCACCGGCUAACUCCGUGCCAGCAGCCGCGGUAAUACGGAGGGUGUAAGCGUUAAUCGGAAUUACUGGGCGUAAAGCGCACGUAGGCUGUAGUGUAAGUCAGGGGUGAAAUCCCACGGCUCAACCGUGGAACUGCCUUUGAUACUGCACAACUUGAAUCCGGGAGAGGGUGGCGGAAUUCCAGGUGUAGGAGUGAAAUCCGUAGAUAUCUGGAGGAACAUCAGUGGCGAAGGCGGCCACCUGGACCGGUAUUGACGCUGAGGUGCGAAAGCGUGGGGAGCAAACAGGAUUAGAAACCCGGGUAGUCC
rnacentral:rRNA from 1 species